rnacentral:rRNA from 1 species
GGUUAAGCGACUAAGCGUACACGGUGGAUGCCCUGGCAGUCAGAGGCGAUGAAGGACGUGCUAAUCUGCGAAAAGCGUCGGUAAGGUGAUAUGAACCGUUACAGCCGGCGAUGUCCGAAUGGGGAAACCCAGUGCAAUUCGUUGCACUAUCGUUAACUGAAUACAUAGGUUAACGAGGCGAACCGGGGGAACUGAAACAUCUAAGUACCCCGAGGAAAAGAAAUCAACCGAGAUUCCCCCAGUAGCGGCGAGCGAACGGGGAGCAGCCCAGAGUCUGAAUCAGCUUGUGUGUUAGUGGAACGGUCUGGAAAGUCCGACGGUACAGGGUGAUAGUCCCGUACACCAAAAUGCACAGGCUGUGAACUCGAAGAGUAGGGCGGGACACGUGGUAUCCUGUCUGAAUAUGGGGGGACCAUCCUCCAAGGCUAAAUACUCCUGACUGACCGAUAGUGAACCAGUACCGUGAGGGAAAGGCGAAAAGAACCCCGGCGAGGGGAGUGAAAAAGAACCUGAAACCGUGUACGUACAAGCAGUGGGAGCACCUUCGGGUGUGACUGCGUACCUUUUGUAUAAUGGGUCAGCGACUUAUAUUCUGUAGCAAGGUUAACCGUAUAGGGGAGCCGCAGGGAAACCGAGUCUUAACUGGGCGUUAAGUUGCAGGGUAUAGACCCGAAACCCGGUGAUCUAGCCAUGGGCAGGUUGAAGGUUGGGUAACACUAACUGGAGGACCGAACCGACUAAUGUUGAAAAAUUAGCGGAUGACUUGUGGCUGGGGGUGAAAGGCCAAUCAAACCGGGAGAUAGCUGGUUCUCCCCGAAAGCUAUUUAGGUAGCGCCUCGUGAAUUCAUCUUCGGGGGUAGAGCACUGUUUCGGCUAGGGGGUCAUCCCGACUUACCAACCCGAUGCAAACUACGAAUACCGAAGAAUGUUAUCACGGGAGACACACGGCGGGUGCUAACGUCCGUCGUGAAGAGGGAAACAACCCAGACCGCCAGCUAAGGUCCCAAAGUCACAGUUAAGUGGGAAACGAUGUGGGAAGGCACAGACAGCCAGGAUGUUGGCUUAGAAGCAGCCAUCAUUUAAAGAAAGCGUAAUAGCUCACUGGUCGAGUCGGCCUGCGCGGAAGAUGUAACGGGGCUAAACUGUGCACCGAAGCUGCGGCAGCGACACUAUGUGUUGUUGGGUAGGGGAGCGUUCUGUAAGCCUGCGAAGGUGGCCUGUGAGGGUUGCUGGAGGUAUCAGAAGUGCGAAUGCUGACAUAAGUAACGAUAAUGCGGGUGAAAAGCCCGCACGCCGGAAGACCAAGGGUUCCUGUCCAACGUUAAUCGGGGCAGGGUGAGUCGACCCCUAAGGCGAGGCCGAAAGGCGUAGUCGAUGGGAAACAGGUUAAUAUUCCUGUACUUGGUGUUACUGCGAAGGGGGGACGGAGAAGGCUAUGUUAGCCGGGCGACGGUUGUCCCGGUUUAAGCAUGUAGGCGGAGGUUCCAGGUAAAUCCGGUACCUUAUUAACGCUGAGGUGUGAUGACGAGGCACUACGGUGCUGAAGUAACAAAUGCCCUGCUUCCAGGAAAAGCCUCUAAGCAUCAGGUAACAUUGAAUCGUACCCCAAACCGACACAGGUGGUCAGGUAGAGAAUACCAAGGCGCUUGAGAGAACUCGGGUGAAGGAACUAGGCAAAAUGGUGCCGUAACUUCGGGAGAAGGCACGCUGAUAUGUAGGUGAAGCCCCUGCGGGUGGAGCUGAAAUCAGUCGAAGAUACCAGCUGGCUGCAACUGUUUAUUAAAAACACAGCACUGUGCAAACACGAAAGUGGACGUAUACGGUGUGACGCCUGCCCGGUGCCGGAAGGUUAAUUGAUGGGGUUAUCCGUAAGGAGAAGCUCUUGAUCGAAGCCCCGGUAAACGGCGGCCGUAACUAUAACGGUCCUAAGGUAGCGAAAUUCCUUGUCGGGUAAGUUCCGACCUGCACGAAUGGCGUAAUGAUGGCCAGGCUGUCUCCACCCGAGACUCAGUGAAAUUGAACUCGCUGUGAAGAUGCAGUGUACCCGCGGCAAGACGGAAAGACCCCGUGAACCUUUACUAUAGCUUGACACUGAACAUUGAGCCUUGAUGUGUAGGAUAGGUGGGAGGCUUUGAAGCGUGGACGCCAGUCUGCGUGGAGCCAACCUUGAAAUACCACCCUUUAAUGUUUGAUGUUCUAACGUUGGCCCCUGACCGGGGUUGCGGACAGUGUCUGGUGGGUAGUUUGACUGGGGCGGUCUCCUCCCAAAGAGUAACGGAGGAGCACGAAGGUUAGCUAAUCCUGGUCGGACAUCAGGAGGUUAGUGCAAUGGCAUAAGCUAGCUUGACUGCGAGCGUGACGGCGCGAGCAGGUGCGAAAGCAGGUCAUAGUGAUCCGGUGGUUCUGAAUGGAAGGGCCAUCGCUCAACGGAUAAAAGGUACUCCGGGGAUAACAGGCUGAUACCGCCCAAGAGUUCAUAUCGACGGCGGUGUUUGGCACCUCGAUGUCGGCUCAUCACAUCCUGGGGCUGAAGUAGGUCCCAAGGGUAUGGCUGUUCGCCAUUUAAAGUGGUACGCGAGCUGGGUUUAGAACGUCGUGAGACAGUUCGGUCCCUAUCUGCCGUGGGCGCUGGAGAAUUGAGGGGGGCUGCUCCUAGUACGAGAGGACCGGAGUGGACGCAUCACUGGUGUUCGGGUUGUCAUGCCAAUGGCAUUGCCCGGUAGCUAAAUGCGGAAGAGAUAAGUGCUGAAAGCAUCUAAGCACGAAACUUGCCCCGAGAUGAGUUCUCCCUGAGACUUUAAGUCUCCUGAAGGAACGUUAAAGACGAUGACGUUGAUAGGUCGGGUGUGUAAGCGUAGCGAUACGUUGAGCUAACCGAUACUAAUGAACCGUGAGGCUUAACCUU